rnacentral:misc_RNA from 1 species
UUAAGUUCAGCGGGUAUCCCUACUUGAUCCGAGGUCAAAAGUGUUAAAAUGUGCUUACUGGAUGCCCAUGAUCACCAGCCUGAAUCGCAAAUUGUGCUGCGCUUCAAACCAAUACAUCGGCUGCCAAUGAAUUUAAGGCGAGUCCUGACGCAGGGAAAGGACAAACACCCAACACCAAGCAAAGCUUGAGGGUACAAAUG